GGUGGAGGGAAGCUCAUUGGUGGGGCCACGAGCUGAGUGCACUUAGUCACUCUCCCACAUGUUCCUUGAGAAGGUCUGAGACUAGGGCCAAGAACAGGCAGUAACAGGGCCUCCCUGAGCUUCCCAGAGGUGAGUUCCCAGAGAAUGUGAUUCCAUGUGCGAGGGCAGACAGGACAGGAGAUGCCAUGGACCCCACUUUUGUGGAGGGGCCUGGAAGAUGCCUCGUUAGCCAGAGCAUGGAACAGCCUCACGCCUGCCAGGACUACUUGAUGCAAACACUUCACUAUAAAAUGGAAUAUUGGGCUUCUACCAAAUUUUACAAUAAAAAUGUACUUGUUUGUGGACACUUAUCCUUAGUACAAUGUGGAGCUGUUCUUACUUCCCACUCAUCAAGAACCACAGUGAUCUCAACCAUC
ensembl:ribozyme RNaseP_nuc Nuclear RNase P